rnacentral:rRNA from 1 species
GCAUCGAUGNAAAAGACGCAGCGAAAUGCGAUAAGUAAUGUGAAUUGCAGAAUUUCAGUGAAUCAUCGAAUCUUUGAACGCAUCAUUGGCGCCCUCUGGGUAUUUCCGGAAGGGCAUGGCCUGGUUCGAGCGUCAUU